UACGGAGGGUGCGAGCGUUAAUCGGAAUUAUUGGGCGUAAAGCGCGUGUAGGCGGCUUUGCAAGUCGGGUGUGAAAGCCCUCAGCUUAACUGAGGAAGUGCGCCCGAAACUGCUUGGCUUGAGUACCGGAGAGGAUGGUGGAAUUCCCGAAGUAGAGGUGAAAUUCGUAGAUAUCGGGAGGAACACCGGUGGCGAAGGCGACCAUCUGGACGGAUACUGACGCUGAGACGCGAAAGCGUGGGUAGCAAACAGG
rnacentral:rRNA from 1 species